rnacentral:tRNA from 1 species
GUCUUCUUACCGUUGGAUUGCAAAUCCAAAUAAAGCACUAUUGCAGAAGUCU